GAAGUGCGAAUGCUGACAUAAGUAACGAUAAAGCGGGUGAAAAGCCCGCUCGCCGGAAGACCAAGGGUUCCUGUCCAACGUUAAUCGGGGCAGGGUGAGUCGACCCCUAAGGCGAGGCCGAAAGGCGUAGUCGAUGGGAAACAGGUUAAUAUUCCUGUACUUGGUGUUACUGCGAAGGGGGGACGGAGAAGGCUAUGUUGGCCGGGCGACGGUUGUCCCGGUUUAAGCGUGUAGGCUGGUUUUCCAGGCAAAUCCGGAAAAUCAAGGCUGAGGCGUGAUGACGAGGCACUACGGUGCUGAAGCAACAAAUGCCCUGCUUCCAGGAAAAGCCUCUAAGCAUCAGGUAACAUCAAAUCGUACCCCAAACCGACACAGGUGGUCAGGUAGAGAAUACCAAGGCGCUUGAGAGAACUCGGGUGAAGGAACUAGGCAAAAUGGUGCCGUAACU
rnacentral:rRNA from 1 species